CGUCGUAUGUUGCCAGCAUUAAGUUGGGACUCAUACGAGACUGCCGGGGUCAACUCGGAGGAAGGUGGGGAUGACGUCAAGUCAUCAUGCCCCUUAUGUCUAGGGCUGCACGCAUGCUACAAUGGAUGGUACAAAGGGCUGCAAAACCGCAAGGUAGAGCGAAUCCCAAAAAGCCAGUCUCAGUUCGUAUUGGGGUCUGCAACUCGACCCCAUGAAGUCGGAGUCGCUAGUAAUCGCAGAUCAGGAACGCUGCGGUGAAUACGUUC
rnacentral:rRNA from 1 species